UACGUAGGGUGCAGGCGUUACUCGGAAUUACUGGGCGUAAAGCGUGCGCAGGCGGUUUCUUACGUCCGAUGUGAAAGCCCCGGGCUUAACCUGGGAACUGCGUUUGAAACUGGGAGACUUGAGUGUGGCAGAGGGGGGUGGAAUUCCACGUGUAGCAGUGAAAUGCGUAGAUAUGUGGAGGAACACCGACGGCGAAGGCAGCCCCCUGGGUUAACACUGACGCUCAUGCACGAAAGCGUGGGGAGCAAACAGG
rnacentral:rRNA from 1 species